rnacentral:rRNA from 1 species
AUGUCCGCCCACCUCCGCCUCCUCUCCGCCGGGGCCGCGCUCCCGGCGCCCGCCCCGGCCCCCCUCCGGCGGGCGCGGCUGCUCCCGCCCGCGCCCCCGCUCCCCUCCGCCCGACUCCUCGCCCCGCACCGGCGCGGCCUCUCCCCGCGCGCGGCCGUCCGCGUCGUCCGAUGCGCCGCCGCGGCGGGCGCGGCCGACGGGGGCGAGCGGGAGGUGGGGGUGGGGGUGGAUGCGAUAGCGGCGGAGGGCGCGGGGAUAUGGGCGCAGGUGCGGGACGUGGUGGUGUUCGCGGGGCCGGCGCUCGGGCUCUGGAUCUGCGGCCCGCUCAUGAGCCUCAUCGACACCAUGGUCAUCGGCCAGACCUCCUCCCUCCAGCUCGCAGCCCUAGGGCCCGGGACCGUGUUCUGUGACUACCUGUGCUACAUAUUCAUGUUCCUGUCCGUCGCAACCUCCAACAUGGUGGCCACCUCCUUAGCUAACAAGGAUGAAGAACUUGCACAGCAUCAAGUGUCUACGCUGCUAUUUAUAGCUCUUACUUUUGGUAUAGGAAUGUUUUUGUUCACUAAGAUUUUUGGGGUUCAAGUAUUGACUGCCUUUACUGGAUCAAAAAAUCAUGAAAUUAUUUCUGCUGCUAAUACAUAUGCACAGAUUCGAGGUUUUGCAUGGCCUGCAGUUCUCGUUGGCUUAGUUGCCCAAAGUGCUAGUCUAGGCAUGAAAGAUGCUUGGGGUCCUCUGAAGGCAUUGGCAGCAGCUAGUGUUAUAAAUGGCGUCGGUGAUAUAUUUCUUUGCUCUGUAUGUGGCUAUGGAAUUGCUGGUGCCGCCUGGGCUACUAUGGUUUCACAGAUUGUUGCAGCUUUUAUGAUGAUGCAAAAUCUAAACAGUAGAGGUUUUCGAGCGUUCUCAUUCACAAUCCCAUCGACAAGAGAGCUUCUGCAGAUAUUUGAAAUCGCAGCUCCUGUUUUUGUGACAAUGACAUCCAAGGUAGCAUUUUAUGCAUUGCUUACAUACUCCGCGACUUCUAUGGGAGCAAUAACUCUUGCAGGCCAUCAGGUUAUGGUUAAUAUCUUAUGCAUGUGCACUGUUUGGGGUGAGCCCCUGUCACAAACUGCUCAGUCGUUCAUGCCGGAGAUGAUAUACGGAGCUAACCGCAAUUUGAUGAAGGCAAGGAUGCUACUCAAGUCACUCGUAAUGAUUGGAGCUAUAGCUGGACUGACUGUGGGGACAGUUGGAACGAUUGUUCCGUGGCUUUUUCCUAGUCUGUUUACCAAUGAUCUACUGGUUGUACAACAGAUGCACAAAGUGCUGAUUCCAUAUUUCACUGCAUUGUUGGUGACACCUUCAGUACACAGCCUUGAAGGAACAUUGCUGGCUGGAAGGGAUCUCAGGUAUUUGAGUCAAUCAAUGGGUGCAUGCUUCAGCAUUGGUACCUUUCUACUACUGCUUGUCCGCGACAAGUUUAGUAGCUUGACACUAUGCUGGUGGGUACUUGUCUUCUUCCAGUGGAGUCGGUUUGGAAGCGCUCUACAACGGCUUGUUUCGCCAACGGGCAUGUUGUAUAACAAAAAUUUCAACCAGCCUGAGCAUAUCAAAGUGAAGGCCACAUGA